CAAGGAGGAGGUGAAGCACCAGA
rnacentral:miRNA from 1 species